UAGUCCACGCCGUAAACGAUGGUCACUAGUUGUUGGGGUCUUGUACCUCAGUGAUUAAGAGAAAUUGAUAAGUGACCCACCUGGGGAGUACGAUCGCAAGAUUGAAACUCAAAGGAAUUGACGGGGGCCCGCACAAGCGGAGGAACAUGUGGUUUAAUUCGAUGAUACGCGAGGAACCUUACCUGGGCUUAAAUGUAGAUUGCAUAACUUAGAAAUAGGUUUUCCCUUCGGGGCUAUUUACAAGGUGCUGCAUGGUUGUCGUCAGCUCGUGCCGUGAGGUGUCGGGUUAAGUCCCAUAACGAGCGCAACCCCUAUCGUUAGUUGCCAGCGGAUAAUGCCGGGGACUCUAGCGAGACUGCCACCGUAAGGUGAGAGGAAGGUGGGGGAUGACGUCAAAUCAGCACGGCCCUUAUGUCCAGGGCUACACACGUGUUACAAUGGCAGGUACAAAGGGCAGCUACACAGCGAUGUGAUGCUAAUCUCUAAAGCCUGUCCCAGUUCGGA
rnacentral:rRNA from 1 species